GACGAACGCUGGCGGCGUGCUUAACACAUGCAAGUCGAACGGUAAGGCCCUUCGGGGUACACGAGUGGCGAACGGGUGAGUAACACGCGGGUGAUCUGCCCUGCACAUCGGGAUGAGCCUGGGAAACUGGGUCUAAUACCGGAUAGGACCACUGCCUGCAUGGGUGGAGGUGGAAAGCUUUUGCGGUGUGGGAUGGGCCCGCGGCCUAUCAGCUGGUUGGUGGGGUGAUGGCGUACCAAGGCGACGACGGGUAGCCGGCCUGGGAGGGGGACCGGCCACACUGGGACUGAGAUACGGCCCAGACUCCUACGGGAGGCAGCAGUGGGGAAUAUUGCACAAUGGGCGCAAGCCUGAUGCAGCGACGCCGCGUGAGGGAUGACGGCCUUCGGGUUGUAAACCUCUUUCAGCACCGACGAAGCGCAAGUGACGGUAGGUGCAGAAGAAGGACCGGCCAACUACGUGCCAGCCGCCGCGGUAA
rnacentral:rRNA from 1 species